GAUUUGUUAGCUCAGCUGGGAGAGCACUUGGGUGACAACCAAGAGGUCGGCAGUUCGAUCCUGCCACAAAUCA
rnacentral:tRNA from 1 species